rnacentral:rRNA from 1 species
AGAGUUUGAUCAUGGCUCAGGACGAACGCUGGCGGCGUGCUUAACACAUGCAAGUCGAGCGGGAACCUGAGGAGGGGUAACCCUCUUCAGGGGAGAGCGGCGAACGGGUGAGUAUCACGUGGGCAACCUGCCCCGGACACCGGGAUAACCCAGGGAAACCUGAGCUAAUACCGGAUACUUCGGCACGAUCGCAUGGUCGUGCCGGGAAAGCUCCGACGGUCCGGGAUGGGCCCGCGGCCUAUCAGCUUGUUGGUGGGGUAACGGCCCACCAAGGCGACGACGGGUAGCUGGUCUGAGAGGACGGCCAGCCACACUGGGACUGAGACACGGCCCAGACUCCUACGGGAGGCAGCAGUGGGGGAUCUUGCGCCAAUGCGCGAAAGCGUGACGCAGCGACGCCGCGUGGGGGAUGAAGGCCCUCGGGUUGUAAACCCCUUUCGGCAGGGACGAAGGGAAACUGACGGUACCUGUAGAAGAAGUCCCGGCUAACUACGUGCCAG